rnacentral:rRNA from 1 species
UACGUAGGGUGCGAGCGUUAAUCGGAAUUACUGGGCGUAAAGCGUGCGCAGGCGGUUUUGUAAGUCUGUCGUGAAAUCCCCCGGGCUCAACCUGGGAAUUGCGAUGGAGACUGCAAGGCUAGAAUCUGGCAGAGGGGGGGGUAGAAUUCCACGUGUAGCAGUGAAAUGCGUAGAGAUGUGGAGGAACACCGAUGGCGAAGGCAGCCCCCUGGGUCAAGAUUGACGCUCAUGCACGAAAGCGUGGGGAGCAAACAGG